rnacentral:rRNA from 1 species
CCAAUAGCGUAUAUUAAAGUUGCUGCAGUUAAAAAGCUCGUAGUUGAAUUUCGGGACCAAUAUGUCGGUCGUGCCUCGGUACGUACUGGCAUCGUUGGUUUCUCCCUUCUGAAGAACCAUGAUGUCAUUCAUUUGGUGUCGUGGGGAAUCAGGACUGUUACUUUGAAAAAAUUAGAGUGUUUAAAGCAGGCUCACGCUUGAAUACAUUAGCAUGGAAUAAUGAAAUAGGACGUUUGAUUCUAUUUUGUUGGUUUCUAGGAUCGACGUAAUGAUUAAUAGGGAUAGUUGGGGGCAUUAGUAUUCAAUUGUCAGAGGUGAAAUUCUUGGAUUUAUUGAAGACUAACUACUGCGAAAGCAUUUGCCAAGGAUGUUUUCAUUAAUCAAGAACGAAAGUUAGGGGAUCGAAGACGUUCAGAUACCGUCGUAGUCUUAACCAUAAACUAUGCCGACUAGGGAUCGGAUGAUGUUAAUUUUUUAAUGACUCAUUCGGCGCCUUACG